rnacentral:rRNA from 2 species
AAAUCAGGUAGGAGUACCCGCUGAACUUAAGCAUAUCAAUAAGCGGAGGAAAAGAAACCAACCGGAUUGCCUUAGUAACGGCGAGUGAAGCGGCAAAAGCUCAAAUUUGAAAUCUGGUACCUUUGGUGCCCGAGUUGUAAUUUGGAGAGGGCAACUUUGGGUCCGUUCCUUGUCUAUGUUCCUUGGAACAGGACGUCAUAGAGGGUGAGCAUCCCGUGUGGCGAGGAGUGCGGUUCUAUGUAAAGUGCCUUCGAAGAGUCGAGUUGUUUGGGAAUGCAGCUCUAAGUGGGUGGUAAAUUCCAUCUAAAGCUAAAUAUUGGCGAGAGACCGAUAGCGAACAAGUACAGUGAUGGAAAGAUGAAAAGAACUUUGAAAAGAGAGUGAAAAAGUACGUGAAAUUGUUGAAAGGGAAGGGCAUUUGAUCAGACAUGGUGUUUUGCGCCCUCUGCUCCUUGUGGGUGGGGGAAUCUCGCAGUUCACUGGGCCAGCAUCAGUUUUGGUGGCAGGAUAAAUCCGUAGGAAUGUAACUUGCUUCGGGAAGUAUUAUAGCCUAUGGGAAUACUGCCAA